AUACGGAGGAUGCAAGCCUUAUCCGGAUUUAUUGGGUUUAAAGGGUGCGUAGGCGGUUUGCUAAGCGGGAGGUGAAAUGCCGGCGCUCAACGUCGGAAGUGCCUCCCGAACUGGUGGACUUGAAUGACUCUGCCGUGGGAGGAAUGUGUAGUGUAGCGGUGAAAUGCUUAGAGAUUACACAGAACACCGAUUGCGAAGGCAUCUCACGAAGGGUUGAUUGACGCUGAGGCACGAAAGCGUGGGGAUCAAACAGGAUUAGAUACCCUGGUAGUCCACGCAGUAAACGAUGAUGGCUAACCGCUGGGCUUAUCAGUUCAGUGGCCAAGCGAAAGCGAUAAGCCAUCCACCUGGGGAGUACGACCGCAAGGUUGAAACUCAAAUGAAUUGACGGGG
rnacentral:rRNA from 1 species